rnacentral:rRNA from 1 species
UACAGAGGUGGCAAGCGUUGUUCGGAAUUACUGGGCGUAAAGGGCGCGUAGGCGGUCUUGUAAGUCCUGUGUGAAAUCCCUCGGCUCAACUGAGGAACUGCACGGGAUACUGCGAGACUUGAGUUCGGGAGAGGGAAGCGGAAUUCCGGGUGUAGCGGUGAAAUGCGUAGAUAUCCGGAGGAACACCGGUGGCGAAGGCGGCUUCCUGGACCGACACUGACGCUGAGGCGCGAAAGCUAGGGGAGCAAACGGG